GUAGGUGACCUGCGGAAGGACAUUAAUAAACCUAGUCGUUCGCGUACAUAGGGGCAACCCUCGCGUGAUGUCAGCAAUACCUAGGUAACCCUUGAAUAAACUACCCUUGUUGCUUUGGCGGGCCGCCGUCUCGGCCAGCGGCUUCGGCUGCUGCGCGCCCGCCAGAGGACCACAACUCUUGUUUUUAGUGAUGUCUGAGUACUAUAUAAUAGUUAAAACUUUCAACAACGGAUCUCUUGGUUCUGGCAUCGAUGAAGAACGCAGCGAAAUGCGAUAAGUAAUGUGAAUUGCAGAAUUCAGUGAAUCAUCGAAUCUUUGAACGCACAUUGCGCCCUUUGGUAUUCCGAAGGGCAUGCCUGUUCGAGCGUCAUUAUAACCACUCAAGCUCUCGCUUGGUAUUGGGGUGCGCGGUUCCGCGGCCUCUAAAGUCAGUGGCGGUGCCUGUCGGCUCUACGCGUAGUAAUACUCCUCGCGUCUGGGUCCGGUAGGUUGCUUGCCAACAACCCCCAAAUUUUUACAGGUUGACCUCGGAUCAGGUAGGGAUACCCGCUGAACUUAAGCAUAUCAAUAAGCGGAGGAAAAGAAACCAACAGGGAUUACCUCAGUAACGGCGAGUGAAGCGGUAACAGCUCAAAUUUGAAAGCUAGCUCUUUUAGGGUUCGCAUUGUAAUUUGUAGAAGAUGCUUCGGGUGUGGCCCCGGUCUAAGUUCCUUGGAACAGGACGUCAUAGAGGGUGAGAAUCCCGUAUGUGACUGGGUGCUUUCGCUCAUGUGAAGCUCUUUCGACGAGUCGAGUUGUUUGGGAAUGCAGCUCAAAAUGGGUGGUAAAUUUCAUCUAAAGCUAAAUAUUGGCCAGAGACCGAUAGCGCACAAGUAGAGUGAUCGAAAGAUGAAAAGCACUUUGGAAAGAGAGUUAAACAGUACGUGAAAUUGUUGAAAGGGAAGCGCUUGCAACCAGACUUGCGCGCUGAUGAUCAUCCGGGCUUCUGCCCGGUGCACUCGUCUGCGCUCAGGCCAGCAUCGGUUUCGGUGGUGGGAUAAAGGCCUUGGGAAUGUAGCUUCUUUCGGGGAGUGUUAUAGCCCUCGGUGCAAUGCCGCCUACCGGGACCGAGGACCGCGCU
rnacentral:rRNA from 1 species